rnacentral:rRNA from 1 species
AUUGAACGCUGGCGGCAUGCCUUACACAUGCAAGUCGAACGGCAGCACGGGUGCUUGCAGCUGGUGGCGAGUGGCGAAUGGGUGAGUAAUACAUCGGAACGUACCUUAUGGUGGGGGAUCACGCAGAGAAAGCAGUGCUAAUACAGCAUACGCCAUGAGGGGGGGAAGCGGGGGAUCGAAAGAUCUCGCGCGAUGAGAGGGGCCGAUGCCUGAUUAGCUUGUUGGUGGGGUAACAGCCCACCAAGGCGACGAUCAGUAGCUGGUCUGAGAGGACGAUCAGCCACACUGGGACUAGGACACUGCCCAGACUCCUACGGGAGGCAGCAGUGGGGAAUUUUGGACAAUGGGGGCAACCCUGAUCCAGCAAUGCCGCGUGAGUGAAGAAGGCCUUCGGGUUGUAAAGCUCUUUUGUCAGGGAAGAAACACCGGCUCUAACACAGUCCGGGAAUGACGGUACCUGAAGAAUAAGCACCGGCUAACUACGUGCCAGCCGCCGCGGUAA